AGGAACCCACAGAGACCGUGAAGGAGUUGUAUGACAAAAUUCUUGAGUCUGUUAACACGAAAAGAACAAUGGCUCCAAACGCAUGGGCGUCGUCGAUGAUUGAAAAAUGCAAGAACAGAGAGGAUAUGAAGCUUCUCUUUGAUAUCUUGCAGAACCUACGCAGAUUUAGAUUGUCAAAUCUUCGAAUUCAUGAGAAUUUUAACUGCAACCUUUGUUGAGAAGUCACAAAAGCAUGUGUGCGUGCAAGGGCUCUUGACUUUGGUGAGCUUUAUCUACACAAGUUGUUUGCCAAGUUCAAAAAUUCUAUAUCAUGCUG